CCUACGGGAGGCAGCAGUGGGGAAUAUUGGACAAUGGGGGAAACCCUGAUCCAGCGACGCCGCGUGAGUGAAGAAGUAUUUCGGUACGUAAAGCUCUAUCAGCAGGAAAGAAAAUGACGGUAUCUGACUAAGAAGCCCCGGCUAACUACGUGCCAGCAGCCGCGGUAAUACGUAGGGGGCAAGCGUUAUCCGGAUUUACUGGGUGGAAAGGGAGCGUAGACGGCAGCGCAAGUCUGGAGUGAAAUGCCGGGGCCCAACCCCGGAACUGCUCUGGAAACUGUGAAGCUGGAGUGCAGGAGAGGUAAGCGGAAGUCCUGGUGUAGCGGUGAAAUGCGUAGAGAUCAGGAGGAACACCGGCGGCGAAGGCGGCUUACUGGACUGUAACUGACGUUGAGGCUCGAAGGCGUGGGGAGCAAACAGGAUUAGAUACCCCUGUAGUC
rnacentral:rRNA from 1 species